AGAGUUUGAUCCUGGCUCAGGAUGAACGCUGGCGGUGUGCUUAACACAUGCAAGUCGUACGAGGUACAUUCAUGUAGACUCUCGGGUCUACCGAAUGGACUGCAGUGGCGGACGGGUGCGUAACGCGUAAGAACUUACCUUUCGGAGGGGGAUAACAUUGGGAAACCGCUGCUAAUACCCCAUAAUGCUGAGGAGCUAAACGGUGAACAACCGCCGAGAGAGAGGCUUGCGUCUGAUUAGCUAGUUGGCGGGGGUAAUGGCCCCCCAAGGCGACGAUCAGUAGCUGGUCUGAGAGGAUGAUCAGCCACACUGGGACUGAGACACGGCCCAGACUCCUACGGGAGGCAGCAGUGAGGAAUUUUCCGCAAUGGGCGAAAGCCUGACGGAGCAAUACCGCGUGGAGGAAGAAGGCCCGUGGGUCGUAAACUCCUUUUCUCAGAGAAGAAGAUCUGACGGUAUCUGAGGAAUAAGCGCCGGCUAAGUCUGUGCCAGCAGCCGCGGUAAUUC
rnacentral:rRNA from 1 species